AUCGCUGUUAGCACUAGUGCUAUCAGUAUGUCACAAAGUGGUAUUGUAAGGAUAUUACAUCAGCAAUUCAAAUUCUGUUCUUAAUCUGAUUUCUGUUCUGACUGCGACUUAGUGACAUUAAGAUUGUUCUAAAAAUCAUAUAGAUCCUUCCCUGGAUUUUUCAAACGCAAUGGAAAAAACCGAAGUCAUCCCUUUAGAAGACCAGCAAAUGUUUUGAAGACGUCGAAGCCACUUGAAGUACCAUUUUUCUUGCUUGGUUCAAAAACGGACACAACCCCAUCCAUAUCUGCCGAGCUGGAGCUCAUGCAAGCAGGGCUGGGAAAGAGGGCGUUGUCUGUCACAUCUGACUUAACGCAUGCAGAGUUAUCCAGUUCACUAAGGACAACAUAUCCGAAGAUGAAUGAUCUUCAAGACAGAUGGCUUCUUUUCAAAGCAGCAGGCGGAAAUGGAAGGAGAAAACUGACUGCAAUCGCAUUAGAGGCAGAGGGAUACACUGGUUCUGUCAUCAAAAGAGCUUCAGGUGGAGGAAAACAGCUGUUAUAUAUAGUGCCCCUCCAAGAUGAGCUAGAUUUAACACCACUACCAGCAGAUGCACCGGAAUUUGCUCGUAUGCCAACAGCAACAUGCAAACAAUGCAAGACAGUGAUGCCAUUGCAGAUGUUGGCUCUGCACAUUGACCACUGCAACAGCACAUCAAACUCGGAA